CCUACGGGUGGCAGCAGUGAGGAAUAUUGGUCAAUGGGCGCAAGCCUGAACCAGCCAAGCCGCGUGAAGGAUGACUGCCCUACGGGUUGUAAACUUCUUUUAUCAAGGAAUAAAGUGAGGCACGUGUGCCUGUUUGUGGGUACUUUAUGAAUAAGGAUCGGCUAACUCCGUGCCAGCAGCCGCGGUAAUACGGAGGAUCCGAGCGUUAUCCGGAUUUAUUGGGUUUAAAGGGAGCGUAGAUGGGUUGUUAAGUCAGUUGUGAAAGCUUGCGGCUCAACCGUAAAAGUGCAAUUGAUACUGGCAGGCUUGAGUACAGGUGAGGUAGGCGGAAUGCGUGGUGUAGCGGUGAAAUGCUUAGAUAUCACGAAGAACUCCGAUUGCGAAGGCAGCCUACUAAACUGCCACUGACAUUGAUGCUCGAAAGUGUGGGUAUCAAACAGGAUUAGAUACCCUUGUAGUC
rnacentral:rRNA from 1 species